rnacentral:rRNA from 1 species
UGUGGUGCUUAAAAAUGGCUUUAGAGACAACCAAUAUUCAUGUGAUGCUAAAAAAAUGGCUUUGGAGACAACUAACUUCAUGUGAUGCUAAGAAAAUUGCUUUAGAGACAACUAACUUCAUGUGGGGCAACCAUGUUUAUGUAAUGUUAAACGGUGCUUUUUGAGGCAAGUUGACUUUGAUUGCCUCAAUGAGUUACCUCUAUAACCAAAUUUAAUUGAAGUGGAGGAAGGGCGUAUUAAUCGACGAAAUGCUUUGGGGAGUUGAAAAUAAGCAGAGAUCAACGGGGUUGUGGGACAGCAAUACAAGUGACGUGCUGCUCGGAGAAUAUGUGGAGUGCGGGACCCUAUAUGGUGAAAGUCUAGUAGCCGAAAGCAUCACUAGCUUACGCUCUGACCUGAGUAGCUGGGGCACGUGGAAUCUCGUGUGACUCAGCAAGGACCACCUUGCAAGGCUAAAUAAACCUGGAUGACCGAUAGUGAAGUAGUACCGUGAGGGAAGGGUGAAAAGAACCCCCGUCGGGGAGUGAAAUAGAACAUGAAAUCGUCAGCUCUCAAGCAGUGGGAGGGGUGUGCCUCUGACCGUGUGCCUGUUGAACAAUGAGCCGAAGACUCAUAACCAGUGGCUUGGUUAAGGGAACCCACCGGAGAUGUAGCGAAAUUGAGUCUUCAUAAGGCAAUUAUCACUGCUUGUGGACCCGAACCUGGGUGAUAUAUCCAUGACCAGGAUGAAGCUUGGGUGAAACUAAGUGGAGGUCCGAACCGACUAAUGUUGAAGAAUCAGCGGAUAAUUUGUGGUUAGGGGUUAAAUGCCACUAGAAUUCAUAACUAGCUGGUUCUCCCCGAAAUGCAUUGAGGCACAACAGUUAACUGGACAUCUAUGAGUAAAGCACUGUUUCAGUGUGGGCCGCGAGGCGGUACCAAAUCGAGGCAAAACUCUGAAUACUAGAUAUGACCUCCAAAUAACAGGGGUCAAGGUCGGCCGUAAAACGAUGGAGGAUAAGCUUCAUCAUCGAGAGGGAAACAACCUGGAUAACCAGCUUAGGCUCCUAAAUGACCGUUGAUUGAUAAAGGAGGUAGGGGUGCAGAGGCAGCUAGGAGGUUUGCCUAGAAGCAGCCACACUUGAAAGAGUGCGUAUAGCUCACAGAUCGAGCGCUCUUGCGCCGAAGAUGAACAGGGCUAAGCGGUCUGUCGAAGCUGUGGGAUGUAAAAUAGCAUCGGUAUGGGAGCGUUUCAUGUUAGGGGGAAGCAUCGGCGCGAGCCGUGCCGGACGAAGUAGUAGCGAGAAUGUGGGCUUGAGUAACGCAAUCAUUGGUGAGAAUCCAAUGCCCCUAAAACCGAAGGGUUCCUCUGCAAGGUUCGUCCACGGAGGAUGAGUCAGAGCCUAAGAUCAAGCCCGGGGGACUAUUAACCAAAAACACAGGUCUCCGAAAAGUAGUAAAACCAUGUAUGGGGGCUGACGCUUGCCGAGUGCCGGAAGGUCAAGGAAGUUGGUGACCUAAUUACAAGGGAGCCGGCGACCGAAGCCCCGAUGAACGGCGGCCGUAACUAUAACGGUCCUAAGGUAGUGAAAUUCCUUGUCAGGUAAGUUCCGAUCCGUACGAAAGGUGUAACGAUCUGGGCACUAUCUCGGAGAGAGGCUCGGUGAAAUAGACAUGUCUAUGAAGAUGCGGACUACCUGCACUUGGACAGAAAGACCCUUUGAAGCUUUACUGUUCCCUGUUAUUGGCUUUGGGCUUUUCCGGCGCAGCUUAGGUUCAAGUCGAAGAAGGCCCCCUUCGGGGGGGGGGGGG